GAUGAACGCUAGCUACAGGCUUAACACAUGCAAGUCGAGGGGAAACGAUAUUGGAAGCUUGCUUCCGAUAGGCGUCGACCGGCGCACGGGUGAGUAACGCGUAUCCAACCUGCCCACCACUUGGGGAUAACCUUGCGAAAGUAAGACUAAUACCCAAUGAUAUCUCUAGAAGACAUCUGAAAGAGAUUAAAGAUUUAUCGGUGAUGGAUGGGGAUGCGUCUGAUUAGCUUGUUGGCGGGGUAACGGCCCACCAAGGCGACGAUCAGUAGGGGUUCUGAGAGGAAGGUCCCCCACAUUGGAACUGAGACACGGUCCAAACUCCUACGGGAGGCAGCAGUGAGGAAUAUUGGUCAAUGGGCGAGAGCCUGAACCAGCCAAGUAGCGUGCAGGAUGACGGCCCUAUGGGUUGUAAACUGCUUUUAUAAGGGAAUAAAGUGAGAGUCGUGACUCUUUUUGCAUGUACCUUAUGAAUAAGGACCGGCUAAUUCCGUGCCAGCAGCCGCCGUAAAAC
rnacentral:rRNA from 1 species